rnacentral:rRNA from 1 species
GACGAACGCUGGCGGCGUGCUUAACACAUGCAAGUCGAACGGAAAGGCCCUGCUUUUGUGGGGUGCUCGAGUGGCGAACGGUGAGUAACACGUGAGUAACCUGCCCUUGACUUUGGGAUAACUUCAGGAAACUGGGGCUAAUACCGGAUAGGAGCUCCUGCUGCAUGGUGGGGUUGGAAAGUUUCGGCGGUUGGGGAUGGACUCGCGGCUUAUCAGCUUGCUGGUGGGGUAGUGGCUUACCAAGGCUUUGACGGGUAGCCGGCCUGAGAGGGUGACCGGCCACAUUGGGACUGAGAUACGGCCCAGACUCCUACGGGAGGCAGCAGUGGGGAAUAUUGCACAAUGGGCGGAAGCCUGAUGCAGCAACGCCGCGUGCGGGAUGACGGCCUGGUGUAACGACUUCGUCCUGUUGACGAAGCGUGAGUGACGGUAAUGGGUAAAG